rnacentral:rRNA from 1 species
AAUCAACGCUGGCGGCGUGCCUCAGACAUGCAAGUCGAACGAUUAAACUUUCCUUCGGGGAGAGAUAUAGAGUGGCGUACGGGUGAGUAACACGUAGGUAAUUUACCUCUGGGUGGGGAAUAACCAUCGGAAACGAUGGCUAAUACCGCAUAAUGCAGCGGCACCGCAAGGUGACAGUUGUUAAAGCUUUAGUGCCUGGAGAGAAGCCUGCGGCAGAUUAGCUAGUUGGUAAGGAUGGCUUACCAAGGCGACGAUCUGUAUCCGGUCUUAGAGGACGGUCGGACACACUGACACUGAAUAACGGGUCAGACUCCUACGGGAGGC